GCCGGGCGCGGAGGCUUGUGCCUGUAGUCCCAGCUUCUCGGGAGGCUGAGGUGAGAGGAUCGCUUGAGCCCAGGAGUUCUGGGCUGUAGUGCACUAUGCCAACCGGGUGUCCGCACUAAAUUCGGCAUCAAUAUGGUGACCUCCCGGGAGCGAGGGACCACCAGGUUUCCUAAGGGGGGUGAACCAGCCCAGGUCGGAAAUGGAGCAGGUCAAAACUCCUGUGCUGGUAAGCAGUGCGAUCCUGCCUGUGAAUAGCCACUGCACUCCAGCCUGGGCAACAUAGCAAGACACCAUCUCU
rnacentral:SRP_RNA from 1 species